GAACGCUAACGCUACAAGGCUUAACUACAUGCAAGUACGAGGGGAAACGAUGAGAGAGCUUGCUCUCUUAGGCGUCGACCGGCGCACGGGUGAGUAACCGCGUAUCCAACCUGCCCAUUACAGGGGAAUAACCUUGCGAAAGUAAGACUAAUGCCCCAUGGUAUUCUCAGCAGACAUCUAAUGAGGAUUAAAGAUUUAUCGGUAAUGGAUGGGGAUGCGUCUGAUUAGCUUGUUGGCGGGGUAACGGCCCACCAAGGCAACGAUCAGUAGGGGUUCUGAGAGGAAGGUCCCCCACAUUGGAACUGAGACACGGUCCAAACUCCUACGGGAGGCAGCAGUGAGGAAUAUUGGUCAAUGGGCGAGAGCCUGAACCAGCCAAGUAGCGUGCAGGAAGACGGCCCUAUGGGUUGUAAACUGCUUUUAUAGGGGAAUAAAGUGGACUACGUGUAGUUUAUUGUAUGUACCCUAUGGAUAAGGACCGGCUAAUUCCGUG
rnacentral:rRNA from 1 species